UCUUUCCCGGAGACUACAGAACCUCCCCCGAGAGCCAAAUAAAUUGGUGUCUAAUUGUUCUCAUGCAGGCCUCAGUUUCCUCAUUUUAAACUCGGCAAUAAACGUCGCAAAAGAAACAAUCUUGCAAGUGGUGGGGAAACCCGGGAGGAAUUAUAAGACCCCUCCUGGGGGAAACUGACUCCUCCACCCAAAGCCGGACCAGGGAACCGCUCCAUCACAAGUGCUGUUGUUGGAUCCAUGGGGUUAACAGACACUGCUGGCUUCUCGGCUCAGGCUACAAUCUUCAUAGGCACCUGACUAAUCGGACAACCCGGGAAGAGGAUGACGCUGACCACCACUGUGAGGCAGACCAGGGUUGUGGGAUCAGCUUUGUGUAACUCACAUGACAAGGAUAGAGGAGAAUGAGGCAAAAACUUCCCAGAUGAUCCGUGCUGUCUCCACUUCCCUCUCAUUGGCCUGACCCACAGUUCAGAAGGGGCUUUCCUAACCCUUCCUUAAGAGCUUCCACCUUUUCAGACAUAAUUAUUAUUAUUGUUGUAAUUAAUGUUACCAUUUACCUAUGAGAAUGAGCUGUCUGCAUGUCCCCCUGUCUCUACCCAUAGAAAAUGUUCCAUUGAGUAGCAGUAUAUUUCUUGGGCAUAUUUUGAAGCAUGAAAGUUUGUACAUGUCUGGUUUCUACCACUCACCUGAUGGGAUUUUAGUUUCCAGGUUAGAGAUACAUUCACAGAUGCAUUCAUAGCACUGACUUCAUCCUCAGAUCCUCUGUUACCUUGAUUUACCAGUGACACUGGUGAGCAGCCCACGCAAAGCUGGACACUGAAUGUCUUCCUAAAGAUACAAGACCUCUUAAAACUUCAUGUUACUAAUUUCAACUUGUCAUCUUAAUGAUUAAUGCAGCUAUUGCUAAGUUGAUCUUAACAUCAAGAUUCCUUUAAGCAAAGAGCAAUUCAAGGCAGUAUUGCACUUCUCCAAGCUUAAUGCUUUAACACUGCUUAUUAAUAGGUCAGGUAAAAAAGGGAAGGCUGCAUUCUAGUAAAGACCACAUAAUUCAAUCACAUACUCUAUGUUUACUAGCAGUCGAAGAGCUAAAAUUGAAGCUGUAAUACUGUAAACCUUUCUCUGCUCAGCCCAUAAAUACAGUAAGUGACUUGGCUUACUCAGUUUAUUUAUUACAAAAAUAUUAAAACAGCUUUAAUUAAAUCUAAUUUCAAGCCCACAGCUCAAACAAACUUACAAAUGAUAAAAUCACUGCUUAUCCAAGACAGAAAGAUUAGAGAGAGAAAUAGAAAAAAAAAAUCAGUAAGGAGAAAGAGAAAGAGUAAGGAAGGCAAAGAGAGAAAGAAAGGAACAGAAAGUAAGACAAAAAGGAGAGAUAAGUAAAGAACGAAAUAUUAACAAAGUUAUCAAAUUGAACCUUUAAUAAGAAGGUUAUAAAAUGAAAAAAGUUAAGUAUGUCUAAGUUUGUCAGUGAAUGCUGUUAAAACUGUUGUAGAAGGGAAUUUAUUACGCAAGUAGGUUGUAUGAAUUUUGCUUUACAGUCUAAGCAGGUUUUAAAAUAUUUUAAAAGUAGUUCUGUGUGUGAACAUAUUGGUUAAAAGUUAAGGAAGUGUCAUCUGGUUUUUCUGUAAACUGGCAACAAGUUUUUCUUAAAGCUUUAAUCUGCUAUUUUACAAAGAUUAUAAAAUGUCUCUUAGCACAGGCAUCAACACUAGACUUUCCAGUACACUAGCACCAUCAAAGAAACUUUGAUGAGGAUACCUUCAUCCAAAAAUGGAAAGAAGAAAAACUCAAGCCAGCCUAGGACACAAGCCCCAGACCUCACCUAAGGAAUGCUAAAGAGGGCUACCCAAAAGGCUUUUCACAGAUGUCAACCAGCUCAAUAGAAGAUGAGACCAAUGACAAUAUCACAACACUUACCAGUAUGGGCUUCUGGAUGGCUGUGACAACAGACUUCAGCCUGGGCUGAGAGUUUCAGCCUCCUCAAGAGGGUCACCAAUUUCUGCUGGUCCGUGGCUGUGUUGAAUACAGUGUUCAGGGACCCACACUGGACAACUGGCACCUUUUGUGAAAACACAAACAACCCUGCCCCCAUAUCAUAGCAGGAUCUGUUUGGAGGUCCUUCCAUUGGACCCAUGCCUUAGGUAUUUCCCGGGUGGUAAAGUGUCUAUCUGUGGGGGAAUGUCCAGAUUCAUCACAGUUUAAAAAAUUAAGGUUAUACAGUGCAAGAGAAACUCCGGUAGCUGGAGUUCCCCUAUAAUCUCCUUUCUCUUAUUUUUCAAUUUGAGUUUUCAUAGUGCAGUGAACAUGCUCAACAAUAGCUUGAC